rnacentral:lncRNA from 1 species
AAAUAAAACUAGAGAACAAAUGGCACGGACUGCAGAGAGUAAGAUUCAGUCAAAACUAAUUCAGUUGGACCAUAACAAAUACAUCAGUGCAGAAAAAUAUAGAACAUGCCGUGGGAGAUGAAGCUGCUGCUCCUACUACUCUGGCCGCUGCAGCUUGCCGUUCCCUCUCCAAGACAACCAACUAAAAAGUCCGUUUCGAAAAAAAAACAACUAAAAAAUCAUAGGGGAGAAGCAAGAUCAGCAGAAAAAGAGGCAAGACCUCUGGCUCCUGCAGCUUGUCGUUCCCUCUCCAACACAUGACCUAUCCACGGAACACCAUUCCUGUGAUUAUCCACAAUCCGUUUCAUUGCUUGUCUCAUCUCAUGCUCUCAACAACCAACACCAAAAUAGAAUUUAACCAUGCAUUAACCACUAACACUUGUAGGGAGCUCCAGUAAAGAAGGGAGGAGAUUCAGAAAUUGAUUAAGGGAAAGCAAACAACUUUCCAAAGUCUAAUGAACUUCCAAAAUCACAUCAAACAACAAAGAGUUCAAGCAUUUGUUCAGAACGAUCAGAAACCUAUGGAUCAAUUGAAGAUUCAGAGCAAAAGCUUAAAUUUAGAGCUCCAAACCUAUGAAAGCAAGAUGCUAAGCUAGCAAAAAAAUCAGGCUCAAGUUAUGUUUGGUGCCACCUCCAUCUUGAAUUUUCUCAUGCGUGGCCUUGUCUUCCUCCUCACGACCCCAGUUUUGCGCAUGGCGAGCAUAAGGCAGCACCGUAAUGAUUCUUGGUGAAGCAUGGCGACCUCUAGGCAGAAGCUUGGGACACCAGACCACAUCUACGGCUAGUCACCUGCAUCAUCAAAUCCAUAAUGCAUCACACAGGAAACCAAACAAAAAAACAUUGGGACACCAGAGCAGGCCUGGAUCAGGGAGCAGGCGAGGGGGAAAUUCAGAACAACAACAUUACAGUCAGAGGGCCAUAGUUAGGAACACAAAAGUUUAGAUAUACAUCAGCAGACAAACUAGAAAGAAUUGGAUUCGUUCAACGUCCUGGUAAGUAAUCUAGAAAGAAUUGGAGUAGUAGUAAUCUGGCUACUACUACUUUUGCAGCUUGACGUCCUAUCCAGCCCGAGCAACCACAAAAUCACACGCCCACCAAUAAUCAAAGGGAAGAAGCAAGAAGUUCGAGCACAAAAAAACAUGCCUUUUCUCAAUGCCGCCAAGUUGGAUCGCGGAGUAGCUGUGGACCAGGAGGAGGCCGUGAGAGGCCAGCAGUAAGCAGUACAGGUCGUGCCCACCGUCGACCCUCCCGGGUAAGCCCGCGAUAGGCCCCGCGUCUCCCGCGAGUGGGACGAGACGGCCACAGCGUCCAGCACUACGGCAGCCCGGGGCCCUGGUCUCCCCGGAUCAAGCUCGGCGAGGUUGAUGGCGAUAUCGACGUGCCCCGUCUCCCCGGAUCUCGCCGGUAUUUGUGCACCAGAAGAGGGAGGGAGCACGUUGGGUAGCAUGAUGAGGGAUGGGGAGCACCGAGAUGAGGGUGGGAGAGGGUUGGGGCGGUGCGACUUGCCGUGAUGGUAGAGGUGGCUCGUUGUGGAGGGGAAGGGUGAGAGGGUUGGGGCGGCGGGAUCUGGAUGGGGUGGAGAACGAGCGAGAGAGAGCGACGGGGUGGAUAAACGAGCGAGAGAGAAAGAUUUUUUUUGAGACAAAGCGAGAGAGAACAUGUACAUGGGCCGCGACGGUUCUCCAGAACCUCACCUCCGGCUGCAAUCACG